UCUUGUCUUCAGUGAUGCCUUAAAAGGCUGGCACUUGUAAUGAUGCUGGGGGUUCUUAUCUCCUUGGAUGGCAGUUUCUUUGGAGAUACUGUAUUUAUAGCUCAUAUGGCAAAUGAACCCCUGACAGUCAAAUGGUUCAAUGCAUAGUUUAGGUAAUCCAAUAUCGCAGUUAGUCUGCCUGCCUUUGCCUCUCUCCAUUCCCCAAGCAAACAUACAGAUGUCUGAAGCCUGACCAAAGUCUCUGA